rnacentral:rRNA from 1 species
UACGUAGGGUCCGAGCGUUGUCCGGAAUUACUGGGCGUAAAGAGCUCGUAGGUGGUUUGUCGCGUUGUUCGUGAAAACUCACAGCUCAACUGUGGGCGUGCGGGCGAUACGGGCAGACUGGAGUACUGCAGGGGAGACUGGAAUUCCUGGUGUAGCGGUGAAAUGCGCAGAUAUCAGGAGGAACACCGGUGGCGAAGGCGGGUCUCUGGGCCGAUACUGACGCUGGAGGAGCGAAAAGCGUGGGGAGCGAACAGG